rnacentral:rRNA from 1 species
UACGUAGGGUGCGAGCGUUAAUCGGAAUUACUGGGCGUAAAGCGUGCGCAGGCGGUUCGUUAUGUCCGUUGUGAAAGCCCCGGGCUCAACCUGGGAAUGGCAAUGGAAACUGGCGACCUAGAGUGCGGUAGAGGGUAGUGGAAUUCCCGGUGUAGCAGUGAAAUGCGUAGAGAUCGGGAGGAACAUCUGUGGCGAAGGCGACUGCCUGGACCAGCACUGACACUGAGGCACGAAAGCGUGGGGAGCAGACAGG